rnacentral:SRP_RNA from 1 species
AGUUCUGGGCCACAGUGUGCUGUGCUGAGCGAGUGUCCACACUAAGUUUAGUGUUAAUAUGGUGACCUCCUGGAAGCAGGGGACCACCAAGUUGCCUAAGGAGGGGUGAACGGCCCAGGUCAGAAGUGGAGCAAGUGGAAACUCCCGUUCACAGCAGUAGCGGGAUCAAGCCUGUGAAUACCCACUGCCCUUCAG